rnacentral:rRNA from 1 species
GACGAACGCUGGCGGCGUGCUUAACACAUGCAAGUCGAACGCUGAAGCACCAGCUUGCUGGUGUGGAUGAGUGGCGAACGGGUGAGUAAUACGUGAGUAACCUGCCCUUGACUCUGGGAUAAGCCCGGGAAACUGGGUCUAAUACUGGAUGCUACAUGUCACCGCAUGGUGGUGUGUGGAAAGGGUUUACUGGUCUUGGAUGGGCUCACGGCCUAUCAGCUUGUUGGUGAGGUAAUGGCUCACCGAGGCGACGACGGGUAGCCGGCCUGAGAGGGUGACCGGCCACACUGGGACUGAGACACGGCCCAGACUCCUACGGGAGGCAGCAGUGGGGAAUAUUGCACAAUGGGCGAAAGCCUGAUGCAGCGACGCCGCGUGAGGGAUGACGGCCUUCGGGUUGUAAACCUCUUUCAGCAGGGAAGAAGCCACAAGUGACGGUACCUGCAGAAGAAGCGCCGGCUAACUACGUG